CACACACACAUGUAUUGCAUUGUAUAGUUGAAAACAACCCCUGCGAACCACGGCUACCCGCUUGAGACAAAAAUUCCAAUACAACUACACAUUUUUUCUCUAUACACUAACACCGACGCACAUUUUCGGGUUAUUUUUUGUUUACCUAAAUGCGAUGAAAAAAAGUUUCUUUCAUCUCUUGAUUUAUUUGAAUGAGUGCGAAGGAGAAAACAUUAUUGUCAAUAGUGACAAAAGAAAAUCCCAAAAAGGGUAAUAAAAAAACGAUUGAAAGACGCAUGUUAUUCGUGAUCGUACUAUCGUAAAGGAGGCUCGUACAACAAGAAGCAUUGGAAUUAGCAGCUGCAGCAAUAUCAUCAGAAGCACCAAAUUUAAAUUGUUAAAUAUUAUUAUGAUUUUUAUUUAAUUAUUCUUUCUUUUCAGAUUUUAUCACUAUUUGUAUUUAAUAUAUUUUAUUCUUUCA